CGCAGGCAGCAGCGCGUCCAGCGGGAUGUAGAGGCUCGUCCUCCGGCUGUCGCUCCCCCAUCCCACCCCAGGCUCCCGGCUUUGUUGAGCGGGAGAGACACCCCGGCCUGCGAGCGUCGCCUGAAGGUGCCGUCAGUUCGCGCGCGCUUACACGUGAGGUCACCCGGCUGCUAUCCUGUCCACUCAUCUGCAAGUGCUGCUUUCGUCCAGCCAGAUAAUUCGGUACUUGGAUGUCAGUCCUUCUGGAGCCCUGAGCCUGUGUCAUCCCAUCCUGACUGCACCACGCCCAGGAUGCCACUGAAACCUUGACAAGGAUUGCAUUGAGUCUGAAUAUUGGUUUAGGAUUACACAGGGGCCUCUCCCAGGCCGAAGAUGCCAGCUCCAGGCACAGUCGCAGCUGGUGGAGCAUGGGCUGCUUCAAAUGCCCAAGAGACUUGAGCAGUCUGUGCCACACUUAGUGCCCUGCUCACUGUCACUGCAUCACCCCCAGGAAGUCUGCCUUUGCUCCCUGUACGUUUCCCAUAAGGAAAUCCUGAAGACUGCUGUCGCCAUGGGUAUGUGCAAACUGUGCAGACACACCUGGCAGAGUGGUCAUCGGAUGAAGGUUUCUUCCUGAGCAAGGUUUCAGAAUGACAGGAAAAGUCUGGUUUGCUAGUGGCGUGACCUAUAAAAUGCACACGUCCACAGGCCUCACCACUUAAAGCGGCUAUUCCCUGGGGUGCUGUGAGGGUCAGCCUGGCAUACACUCACCCAGAGCAAGCCGAAAAAGAAGGGGUGCUCUGUCCACACUGUGGAACGCUAGUCAGUCAUGACGAGAGCAAAAUGCAGCCAUAACAGCAACAUGGCAGGAACACAAAGGAAUCACAUCUCACAAAGCAGGCAACAGGUUAGCUGCUGGGAAUGCAGGCUUAUGUGGUCCUGGCUUGCUGUAAUCAUAGGAACAGAGAGGCGUCCCGAGGCCAGGGGACGAGCCGGUGCGCCCAGCUCAGAGCAGAACUAAAGGCUGUGCUUGUUGACCAUUUGUCACCAGACAGAACUUUCCAUGGACUUUUCCUGAUUCUCCAGACACUACCAGAUCAUCGUGUAAGAUCUGGGAUCUCACUGUUCAUAGCAAAGUCAGAGUUCAGUGAGUUGAAGUGACUUGUCCAAGUCAUGCUGCUAGUCAGCUGCGGGCAAAGAGCCAUGCUGGGGCUUGUGGGCCUCACUCCUGCUCCCCACGAUGUGAUGAUGCCUGAGGACUGGCACAGCUUCGCAGAGGACGCCCUGCUGCUGUGGACAGCACCGUCAUCACCACAGUGGAAGUAUGUGGGCUUCCAGGUGGCCAGCACCAGUUACCCACAGAUAUCCCCAACAACACAAACGGGAGGGAACGAGGACACAGAUUGGACAACCAGCUUGGAUUUAUUCAUGCAUACAAGAACCGGGGUACAGGCCAGAUGCACAGGAAGGGGAGAGGAUUCACCAGAGACAGAGUGGGGAACAGAACAGGCAGACUGACGAAAUACACUGCCGAGGGGAGCAGCGGGCACGACAGGAGAGGUCUGCAGCGUCCUGUGGGACCCUCACCGGACGGCUGGGAUCAAACCCGCACUGCAGAGGCUGGGGACAGCUUCACAGUGCGGCGCUCA